rnacentral:rRNA from 1 species
AUCAAGUGCCUUAGGGGUGUUC